rnacentral:rRNA from 1 species
UCGCCUGUUUAUCAAAAACAUCGCCUCUUGCAAAAUUAAUGAAUAAGAGGUCCCGCCUGCCCUGUGACUAUAUGUUUAACGGCCGCGGUAUUUUGACCGUGCGAAGGUAGCGCAAUCACUUGUCUUUUAAAUGGAGACCUGUAUGAAUGGCAUAACGAGGGUCUAACUGUCUCCUUUUUCAAGUCAAUGAAAUUGAUCUUCCCGUGCAGAAGCGGAAAUGAACACAUAAGACGAGAAGACCCUAUGGAGCUUUAGACAAAAACAGACCAUGUUAAGCACCCUCAAAUAAGAGACUAAACCCGAUGUCUACUGCCCAAUGUCUUUGGUUGGGGUGACCGCGGCGAAACAAGUAACCCCCGUGUAGAAAGAGGGCUCCUCCCUUCGAACCAAGAGCUACCGCUCGAAUAACCAGGAUACCUGACAGCAAGAUCCGGCAACGCCGAUCAACGGACCGAGUUACCCUAGGGAUAACAGCGCAAUCCCCUUCUAGAGCCCAUAUCGACAAGGGGGUUUACGACCUCGAUGUUGGAUCAGGACAUCCUAAUGGUGCAGCCGCUAUUAAGGGUUCGUUUGUUCAACGAUUAAGAGUCCUACGUGAUCUGAGUUC